rnacentral:misc_RNA from 1 species
GGAUGAAGAACGUAGCGAAAUGCGAUAAGUAAUGUGAAUUGCAGAAUUCAGUGAAUCAUCGAAUCUUUGAACGCAUCUUGCGCUCCUUGGUAUUCUGAGGAGCAUGCCUGUUUGAGUGUCAUUAAAUUCUCAACUACACUGACUUUGAUUAGUGUGGCUUGGAUUUGGGGGUGAAUUUGUUGUGGGCUUUUUGUAGUCUGCUCCCCUGAAAUUGAUUAGCGGUACCUUGGUGGAACUGUCUACAGGUGUGAUAAUUAUCUACAUCCUAGACAUCUGCUGGAAUGGGUUCAAUGCUGCUUUCUAAACCUUACUUGUAUUGACAAUCUUGACCUCAAAUCAGGUAGGACUACCCGCUGAACUUAAGCAUAUCAAUAAGCGGAGGA